rnacentral:tmRNA from 1 species
GGGGGCGACACGGUUUCGACGGAAGCUGUAGCGACCCGAAGGCAUGCCGGGAGCCACCUGCCCGCAACAAGGUGGAAAACUAGAACUGCCAAUUCUCAAUUGGCACUUGCUGCCUAAUUAACUUAGGCGCAACGUCUCCCCGGGCUUUGCUCACGGGCCCGGUAAGAGGCGUCGCACAGUGAGCUGGCUCGGGCGUCUCGGUCCGUGAUGCUCGGGCGAGAACCAUCGGACUAGCCGGCUGCGUUUCUUGCUCGUUCUGAGCGCGGCGGGCGAACGCGCGGCAGACCCUCACGGGCCGGACCGCACAGCGAACUGAGCUAAGCAUGUAGGCUUCGGGCCGUAGCGCUUUUCGGACGGGGGUUCGACUCCCCCCGCCU